rnacentral:misc_RNA from 1 species
ACAUGGUUAAUUUUGUGUGUGUCUCAGGUGGUGAGAUGAAUGGGUUUCAGAAUGGCAAAAAUUGCAAUCUUGAUAAACCUUUUCCAGGAUGCUUGGGACGAAUGGUGAACCUUUUCGAUUUAAAUUCUGGGGUGACAGGAAACAAGCUUCUUACAGAUAAACCACAUGGCUCUCUUUCGAGGAGCCAAUCAGAUGUUGUCAGGAUGUAUCCUUCUGGGAAUCAAAUAGAGGAAAAAAUGAUUGUUUCAGAUUUGAAGAGAAACAGUUCAAACAGGAAAUCAAAUGGAACACCAAUGAAGAUGCUUAUAGCCCAGGAAAUGUCCAAGG